rnacentral:sRNA from 1 species
CUUGCAGUAACGAUAUUUUCUCUUCCCUGGCCCAAAAAUGACUUCACUGAUAACUUUGUUACCAUCAGGAUCCUGCACUGGAAACAGAAGCUCCUCGCGAUACGGCCUGUCGACGCCGGUGACGCGCAGGAAAUUAGCGUAGAGCGGCUCGUCGAGCACCUCCAUGCGCGGACCUGGGCGAAGGAGUACAUGAGGCUGGUGCUGAGGGAGCGCGGCGCCGACCACGCGUGGAUCACCACCGGCUCCGGCUCCGGCUCCGGCG